ACCAUGCUGUAGAAAACUAAACAUUUCCACGAUGGAUGUCACCUGACUCAGUGGGUUUUUUGUUUUCCUUUGACUCAUGGUUAAUAAUGUGCUUGCUCAGCAGUGCCUGCACCUGUUCUGUAUUGCCCUUGUGUUUAUGAGACAUUAAUCAUUCCUAACACUAGCCAGUCUUUUUUUUUCUCUUUUUUGCUUCCUUCCUCCCUCCCUGCCUCCCUUCUUCCUUCUCUCUCUUUCUUUCCAGAACACAAAUGCAUCUAUUUCAAACAGUGUGUUAAAUUGAUUUUCUUUUUGCUAGUUGCAAAAUCACAGAAUCCUGGACAGUGAGAUUUGGAACAGAUCUCAGGAAUUGAAUAACUUUAAUUCCCCAGCUGGGGCAGAAAUCUCCUGUCGAGUGUUUGGAUCACGAUUACUGAGCCCUUCCUUGCCUAUGGGCAGCUCUGGGGAGCUCGCUGCUUCAGGCUAGGACCGCUCACUCGGGAGAACCUUCUGUCCGUUCCUGGAGUCGGUAACCCACCUGCAAUGCUGCAAGAUCUCCAAGAACUGUACCUGACUCUGAAAUCGAAAUGGUUCAGAUUGCUCAGGUCACAGAACAAACACAAGCCUGAAUUCUGAGAUGGAAGAGGUCCCUCCAAGGAGAGACUGGACAUGUGGACCAUUUCCUCUGUGACAAAAGACAGGAAGAGGGGAAGCUGCCAUACAAAU